AUGACGACUCACAACAUUUUACCUAACCAGCCCAAUAUGAACAUUUUACCUCAAACUGCAAUCUGCUUUCAUUCAACAUAUGCACAAGAAUCAUACAUCAUUCCAUUAACCACAAGCCGUAUAUUCUCUUGCAAACUGGGCAGACACCCUUUUAAGGGUAACUUUAUUGACUUACAUACAGUACCAUCACACUGUUCUUUGUUGCCUAAAAUUUGGAAACCUAUUUUCCAAUACAGACAAACAAACAUAUGCUACUUUUAA